AAAGUCGUAACAAGGUUUCCGUGCGGAAGGAUCAUUAUUGAAUUUUCAUUCAAUUACGUAUGUGAACCAGCCGAACCACAAGCUGUGUACAGUCCUUCGGCUUUAAUGCCCUAGUCUGUAACCGAGUGUGUAGGCCCAACCACUGACGGACUUUGAGCCGUCAGUUUUGACUGUGACUGAAACAUCUUUAAUCAUUAAAGACAACUUUAAGCAAUGGAUCUCUAGGCUCUC
rnacentral:misc_RNA from 1 species